GACGAACGCUGGCGGCGUGCUUAACACAUGCGAGUCGAACGGAAAGGCCCUGCUUUUGUGGGGUGCUCGAGUGGCGAACGGGUGAGUAACACGUGAGUAACCUGCCCUUGACUUUGGGAUAACUUCAGGAAACUGGGGCUAAUACCCGAUAGGAUCUCCUGCUGCAUGGUGGGGGUUGGAAAGUUUCGGCGUUUGGGUAUGGACUCGCGGCUUAUCAGCUUGUUGGGGGGGUAGGGGCUGACCAAGGCUUUGACGGGUAGCCGGCCUGAGAGGGUGACCGGCCACAUUGGGACUGAGAUACGGACCAGACUCCUACGGGAGGCAGCAGUGGGGAAUAUUGCACAAUGGGCGGAAGCCUGAUGCAGAAACGCCGCGUGCGGGAUGACGGCCUUCGGGUUGUAAACCGCUUUCGCCUGUGACGAAGCGUGAGUGACGGUAAUGGGUAAAGAAGCACCGGCUAACUACGUG
rnacentral:rRNA from 1 species